rnacentral:rRNA from 1 species
UGGGGAAUAUUGCACAAUGGGCGCAAGCCUGAUGCAGCCAUGCCGCGUGUAUGAAGAAGGCCUUCGGGUUGUAAAGUACUUUCAGCGGGGAGGAAGGGAGUAAAGUUAAUACCUUUGCUCAUUGACGUUACCCGCAGAAGAAGCACCGGCUAACUCCGUGCCAGCAGCCGCGGUAAUACGGAGGGUGCAAGCGUUAAUCGGAAUUACUGGGCGUAAAGCGCACGCAGGCGGUUGAUUGAGUCAGAUGUGAAAUCCCCGGGCUUAACCCGGGAAUUGCAUCUGAUAAUGGUCAGCUAGAGUCUUGUAGAGGGGGGUAGAAUUCCAUGUGUAGCGGUGAAAUGCGUAGAGAUGUGGAGGAAUACCGGUGGCGAAGGCGGCCCCCUGGACAAAGAAUGACGCUCAGGUGCGAAAGCGUGGGGAGCAAACAGG